rnacentral:sRNA from 5 species
UAUCUCUCCGUACAGGGAAGGAUGAGAAUCUUCGAUUAAGGUUCGAUUCGAGCGCAGCGAGAGAACGUUGCCAACGGCAACGGCCCGAAGGGCGCGACGCGCCGAGUCAUCCUUCCCCCACCAUAA